UACGGAGGGUGCAAGCGUUAAUCGGAAUUACUGGGCGUAAAGCGUGCGUAGACGGUUAUUUAAGUCGGAUGUGAAAGCCCCGGGCUCAACCUGGGAAUUGCAUUCGAGACUGAAUAGCUAGGGUGCGGUAGAGGGAAGCGGAAUUUCCGGUGUAGCGGUGAAAUGCGUAGAUAUCGGAAGGAACAUCAGUGGCGAAAGCGGCUUCCUGGACCAGCACCGACGUUCAGGCACGAAAGCGUGGGGAGCAAACAGG
rnacentral:rRNA from 1 species